GAUGAACGCUAGCUACAGGCUUAACACAUGCAAGUCGAGGGGCAGCAUGAAAGGAACUUCGGUUCUUUUUGAUGGCGACCGGCGCACGGGUGCGUAACGCGUAUCGAACCUGCCUCAUACUCGGGGAUAGCCUUGCGAAAGUAAGAUUAAUACCCGGCGGUCUCGGAUGGCCGCAUGACUGCCCGAGUGAAGAUUUAUCGGUAUGAGAUGGCGAUGCGUCCCAUUAGCUUGUUGGUGAGGUAAUGGCUCACCAAGGCAUCGAUGGGUAGGGGUUCUGAGAGGAAGGUCCCCCACAUUGGAACUGAGACACGGUCCAA
rnacentral:rRNA from 1 species